GAUGAACGCUGGCGGCGUGCUUAACACAUGCAAGUCAAGCGAAGCGGCUGAAUUGAUUCUUCGGAUGAUUUUCAGUUGACUGAGCGGCGGACGGGUGAGUAACGCGUGGGUGACCUGCCCCAUACCGGGGGAUAACAGCUGGAAACGGCUGCUAAUACCGCAUAAGCGCACAGAGCUGCAUGGCUCGGUGUGAAAAACUCCGGUGGUAUGGGAUGGGCCCGCGUCUGAUUAGGCAGUUGGCGGGGUAACGGCCCACCAAACCGACGAUCAGUAGCCGGCCUGAGAGGGCGACCGGCCACAUUGGGACUGAGACACGGCCCAAACUCCUACGGGAGGCAGCAGUGGGGAAUAUUGCACAAUGGGGGAAACCCUGAUGCAGCGACGCCGCGUGAGCGAAGAAGUAUUUCGGUAUGUAAAGCUCUAUCAGCAGGGAAGAUAAUGACGGUACCUGACUAAGAAGCCCCGGCUAACUACGUGCCAGCAGCCGCGGUAAUACGUAGGGGGCAAGCGUUAUCCGGAUUUACUGGGUGUAAAGGGAGCGUAGACGGCAAGGCAAGUCUGAUGUGAAAACCCAGGGCUUAACCCUGGGACUGCAUUGGAAACUGUCUGGCUCGAGUGCCGGAGAGGUAAGCGGAAUUCCUAGUGUAGCGGUGAAAUGCGUAGAUAUUAGGAAGAACACCAGUGGCGAAGGCGGCCUACUGGACGGUAACUGACGUUGAGGCUCGAAAGCGUGGAGAGCAAACAGGAUUAGAUACCCUGGUAGUCCACGCCGUAAACGAUC
rnacentral:rRNA from 1 species